CCAUCCCCCAUUAUGUAAUUUUCAGCCCCAAUGGAUGGGGACAUGUGGUCCAGGCCCCACUUCCAAUACCUGCUAACUUGGUCGUUUUUAAUUUAUAGUGAGUAGCCUUUAGCUGAAAGCGUAAAAACACUGGAAUGGAGUUCAGGAUUUCAGACAAAUUCAUCUAAAAUGAAAUGCAGAAGUCUUAUAAUUUUUCUACAUUAGCCAUUUUAGCCUAAUUUUUCCAGUAUGGUUUUUAAUUCAGUUGUUCGUGAAUAAAGCCCUUAAAGGGACACUAUAGGCACCAGAACAACUACAGCUUAAUGUAGUUGUUCUGGUGAGUAUAAUAGCUCCCUUCAGGCAUCUUCAGAGAAAAGGCAGUGUUUACAUUGCCUCUAGGGACACCUCCAAGUGGACAUUCGUUAGAUGGCCACUGGAGGGGCUGGCAUUCAGUGUCCGCACGCUCUGCAUGGAGACGCUGAAUUUUCCUCAUAGA